rnacentral:rRNA from 1 species
AUGCUCGACUUCCAGGCGCUGCGCCAGCGGAUGAUGUCCGAGUACAAGGACACCGUCGAGCGCCGCUACUACACGCUCACUGGGGAGGUCCCCGAGGACGAGGUCAUCGAGCGCAUCAUUUCCGAGGGCCGCGGCGAGGAGAUCAUGAGCGCCGCCGUCGCCGAGCACGGCAAGGGCGCCGUGCUCGCCGCGCUCAACGAGAUCCAGGACCGCCACGACGCCGCCGGGGAGGUGGAGCGCAGCCUCCUCGAGCUCCACCAGGUGUUCCUCGACAUGGCCGUCGUCGUGCAGUCGCAGGGGGAGAAGAUCGACGACAUCGAGAACCACGUGAUCAACGCCAGGGACUACGUCCACUCCGGCAACAAGGAGCUCGGCAAGGCCCGCGAGCACCAGCGCGGCAGCCGCAAGUGCCUCUGCAUCAGCAUCAUCCUGCUGCUGCUCCUCAUCCUCAUCAUCAUCAUCCCCAUCACCACCAGCCUCAAGAGGUCCUGA